rnacentral:rRNA from 1 species
GACAGAGGGUGCAAACGUUGCUCGGAAUUACUGGGCGUAAAGCGCGUGUAGGCGGAUUGGUGUGUCAGAUGUGAAAGCCCUGGGCUCAACCCAGGAACUGCACCUGAAACUACCAGUCUUGAGUGGUGGAGAGGGAAGUGGAAUUCCUGGUGUAGAGGUGAAAUUCGUAGAUAUCAGGAGGAACACCAGUGGCGAAGGCGGCUUCCUGGACACCAACUGACGCUGAGACGCGAAAGCGUGGGGAGCAAACAGG